AUGGCGGCGAGCUCAUGGGCGGGAGAAAGUAGAAAGCUGAUUUCCGAGCAAGAGAAAGAAACAGUGCAUCUUUCGUGGGCCCAGAUCGUAUCGGGGGAACGGAGGACGCGCGUGUGCGUUCUGGUCCGUGGACCAGAACGUUCUCAUCUCAACCGAGCCACGGAUCAGAACAGAGGAAACCCUCGUCGCCCCCCUCUCUUCCCCCAAAACCGGCGGCGCUCGAUCUGCACCGGCGGCCACGUGAUGGAAGAGGCUGGCCUCGAUUUCCUGCUCGAUGUCGUCCACAGGUUAGUUCUGAAGAUCUAUAAGUUUUGCGGAUUUGUCGGGGAGGAGUUCGAGGACUAUCUUGAACACCCAUAUCCGGUUCCUCUGGCCUUGUUCCUGAGAAGCGAAGCCAGCCGCGCCGUCCCUGCGGACUCAAAUGCCGGGUCUGGUUGCGGGCAACAGGACGGGAAGUUACAGCUCGGUAGUGCACCACCAGACCAGACACCUUGUCCCUGGGAUGAGUGCUCACAAUUAUGCAGAGGAACCGACAAAGAGUGUAGUGCGACCUGCACUUGCUCGGGCGAGGCAUAUGAUUUCUACAAUUUGUACACUUGGGAGAUCGGGUUCGGAAUUAGAUAUGAUAAGAUCAGGCUCAACGCUGAGAGGACAAAAUGCAUGGAGGAGAUAGUCUGCGGUUGCUCGGGAUUGGGCCAAUGUACUCCCCAAGUCAGCAUUGCCUUACAAAUUCUACCUGUGUUCAUGCACUCCUCCGGUUGUUGUAGCGAUGAUCUGUUCCUUUCUCAGUGGGACAUGCGGGUCUUGAAAGAACAACGUAUUGCUAAUUGGCACACACCAAAAAAAACACUCUCAACUUGUUUCAUGCUUGAAAGAAUGACGAGCCAAUCUGCCACGGAGAGGAAAUCUACUGUCCAUGUUCACAUGAAAGGGCAGCCCAUACAGCAGCAGAACAGCAGCUGCUGCUCCGCAUAG
rnacentral:rRNA from 1 species